AUAGAAGGCUUGGCAUGUGAGUGAGACAGGCAGAGGAAGCCCUGUGCACACAGCCAUGCUACUGUGGGAGCCAGGAAGCGAUGCCGGGGAAGGCAGCUGUAGGUGUCACCGCCAUGAGAUCUGUACCGUCAGGUGCUGUCAGGUGGAAAUGGCAGGGCUGCACCCAAGGAGCGAGAGGCACAAGUUCUUAACAGAAAAGAUGCCGAACAAAUGAGCUGGCGACAUGGAAGGAUGUAAUCUGAUGUGGAGCAGGAACGAAGGCAAGAAGAAGAAACUGGGCAGAGGGAAAGGGGAGCAAAAAGGACCAAAAAAUGCUAUAUUUAUGUCCCAGCGCACCGACAUGAGUGGUCCCGGAGACGCUGCGCUGGCUGGACCUUCCUGGAAGUUCCGGAAAGCCAGCGAGGACGUGAAGAACGAGAAGUCUCUGGAGAAAGUGGCCUCCCAGAUGGACAGAUAUCACAAGAUAUUUCCAACUUCCAAGUCAGCAGAGAAUAUCAGAACAGGCAUGAAACUGAACACAGCCCCAGCAGCAGUCUUAUUUUCCCGGAGAUGGAAGAUGCAGAUGGUAGUUUGCCAGCCUAAGUGAAACACCAUCUGAAGCUGGAACUGUGGGGUGUGCUGCUGUGUUGCAGUAGAGAAGACGCAUCUGUGUCCUGAGGAAAUGCCAGCAGAGGAACAGGAGAUGAGGGAUCCAACACGGCUCGCACAUACAAUAAAUGACACGAGAGGCGACAGACUUGUAACAUGUCCUUAAUGUAAUCACAGCUGCGUUCCAUGGGAUCUCAGUGUGGACAUGAAAUGAGGCUUUCUCAAUGUGAAAUCAAGAGUGGGCUGUGUGGACUGCGUCCUUUGGAAAUCUAACACCCUCUAAUGCACCUGGAGAACAUCAGUGCGAUCAAGGGACUUGGCUGAGUCAGGCUCCCCACACAGCUGAGUGGCCUGAUUCCUGGCAGUCACAUUCUUGUUGAAAAACCCCACACAGUGCCUUCCAAGAGCAUGCGUGUUGGAGGGAGGACUGAGUCUCCAGGCUGAUGCCAGGAGACAUCUGCCUUACUAGGCCGUGUGUGGCCUGCGUGAGUGCCUCUCCAGGGAAUCAUUUUACACCUCCUGUAUAUUUGAUUUAUAAAGUGGGUUUGAUCUUUGUUCCUUUUCUUCAGCAAAGGAAAGUUACUUACAUUUUAAAGGAUGCUUGCCUUGCUGGUGUUUCUUACCCCCCUGGAUUCCGUGGCUUUUUUUCUGUUUCUUAUCACAUUCAACCUGUCUCAUAGGCAUUUGUGUCUGAGGUUUGUUUUCCCCAGCAGACUGUGAACCUUUUGAUAUUAAGGUCCAGUUUGUAAUCAUUUUGUAAUCCUUCCUUAUGCCUUAGCACACAGACUGGUAAAGAGGUGACUUUAGCUGUGGCUAGUGAACUAAAUUGAAACCUUUCUUACUUGCAAGCAGGACCGUUCUUCUGGAAAAAAUUCUCUAUAGGAAUUUAAUUAAUCAAUUUUUCUUGUUUAUGUUACCUCUGCUUUAACUCAAACUAUAACAUGUUUAUUAACUGUAAGAAGAUUCUAGGAAAACCUUCUCUUACUGGAUUUUCAAUUUAAGUUUACAAAUAAGUUCUAUGCUUACCAAAAUUUGCUAUCAUUUCAAUUUUCUUGAUAAAUUAUAUUUAGGAUUAAACAUCGAACACCCUUGUCUGCACUUCUUCUGUAACUUUAACUCAGAGGUUUGGAAGUUCACUUUUAAAUAGUAAAAUCACAAGAACUACUAGCUGAUUUCAGUUCACAUUACGUAACUCAUGAGAUGUGGGAGAAGGGCAACUUUGAGGAUCUUAGCCGUUUGGGAUUAAGACCUAAUACCAGAACAUCAUGGUGAGAUCACGAGGAGACAGUUGUUCCAGUAUUUUGUAACCUGAAGAAACAUUUGUAAAUGAAAGGGGCUUGGGGAAAUAAAGGUGGAGAGAAUUUGAAGUACAAAUGUCUCUUCAUCCUAAUAAAUCAGGGUGGGCACAUAGCUCAGUGGCACAGUACCUGCCUGGCAAGGUCCUGAGUUUGAUUCUUGGUACAAAAAUAAAAUCAGUGCUGGGAAAGGAAUUUCACAAUGAACUUGGUCUAUGUUCAAUCUAGGAUCUGAAUGCAGUAAUCAAGACUGGCCCUCCAUAGGAGUUAGGGCUAAAAGAGGUGUCACUAUCCAAGCCAACAGGGGUUUCAUGGCGAGAGAAUACCAUUUAUAAUAAGAGAAUUGAGCCUCCAAGAAUUUUCAGAUGGUGGACAGGAAUCCACAGUAUCUGCACCUGUGACUUUCCCGCCUGUGGUCUCCACACUGUGCCAUGAUCCAGAGCUCCAAGUCUUUGGUAGAACCAUGGAAAGCAGAAGUUAUAACAAAGACACAGAAUAAAUAAUGAAAAAGGAAAACAAUUCCACCAAAAUCUCUCUGCGAGGCUGUGUGGUGAGGUAACCUUGUUCUGCUCCCACAGAACAAGCCAACUCUAAGAGGAACGAGUUGCUUCCCCUGACUCUGCACAUGCCACAGAAUGAGCUGAAAGGCAGUGUGACUUCCAGAAGAUCUGGCUUGGUCACUCUGAGGGUUUUCACCUUUGGUGGAUCCUGGCACCCGUGGAGCACCUGUCAGGGCAGGGGCAGCUGGGGCCAUGGAAGUGUCAGUGUGUCAGUGAUGCUGAUGUGAACAUCGUAUGUCCUUCUUGAAGAUAAGAGGUGGAUGGUGACACCUGUGAAUGCGGUGCGGUGACCCAGACCUGGUGGGCAUGAUGGAAAGCAGUUAGCUUUGUGGAUGGCAGUCACGUCACCUAGGAGGACUGGUUGGUACACCACUAUAAAAUUUGGGGAAAUAGCUGUGAACAAAUGAGAAAUCAGUUCUAGAAAAUGGAGAGGACAUUUUUCAUGACACAUACUGGAGCAAAAAUCCAGUUUGUGGAAAUACAGAUGACACAAAGCCAAGAGGAACUGAACUUCUACACUGUUUUAAAUAGGAAAAGUCUACAGGGACUGGACCAGGUGGUCCCAGCGACAUCCUGUGGUUUCAACAGAAGUAGGAAAUCAAUCUGAAGAGAGUGGACAAGGAUGCCCAUCAGGACCUGGGAUCCCACAGAGCCUGUGCCCAUUAUCUGAAAAGUGGACCAGGAUAUGCUUUGUGUGUCUUCCAUUUCCCACUGCCCAGAACCACAGCUUUCUGGGGCUCAGGCAAAUGCCCCCCUGUUCCUGAGAAUUCACAUUUCACAACAGUAACACAAGAUGAGUUACAGAUAGUUCAGCCCCAGGCAGCUUAAGCCAGGGACAGUCAAGCAGGCCUCCGUCACAGGCAACGCCGGGCCUCUUUAUUUCCUUAACCUGGGACUUUUAUUUCUGAGCCAAGAAGAUAACACAUCUUAAUAGCAAGCAGCUGAGUUAACUAGAUAAAAGGUUUCAUAAACAGUUAGUGAAAUCUUGAAAUCAGAGAAAGCGCAGAUUCUCAGUCUUGCCUUGCUUGACUGGAUCUAAAUGUACAUCACCAAAGCAGCACAAAGCAGAUGGCGAGAUAGGCAGCCAGGCUCCCGAGAGCCAGCUCACAGGCUUCCCUGCCUUCCUUCCCUCCACAGCUGGUACUGAAAGUUUCCACUCAGUGUAUGGCCAGAGAUAAGAGAUGCCCGGAGCAUCCGUCAGCUAGAAUGGUCUUAAUGAUCCACCCAGUGACGAUUGCAUUAAACUAAAGAGGACAUGAAGCUCAUAAAAGACCAUGUUUAUAUAGUAGCAAUGGUACAAAGAUAGGAAACCUAAAGCCUUUACAUCCACUGGUAAGUAAUAGGGCUAAAGUUAAUGUACAAAUGUAAGGAAUGAAUUGGAAUUAAAAAAAAAAAAAGUGGUCUGUAGUGAAGAGGCCAGGAUCAUAAAUUAUGCAAGUUCUAUGAUUCAAGGGGAAUGAUGUGCAAACACAGUCAGAAAAACUCUGCUGAAUGGAAGAAUGCAACCUGGAGAUGACAGCACAGGAAACCCGGGGGACAGGCUUCAGUGAGGAUGGGGCUGGAAAUGGCAGUGGGGGACCUGGAUUAGGAGCCAGGAACUGGGGAGCCGGUGACCUCCAGAUUGACCACACAGAGCCAGAAGAGUUCAUGUGAAACACAAAUUCAAGGAAAUUCCGAUUAUUAUGGCCGCAGUUAGAAGACAGAAUAUCAAAGGAGGUAUCCAGGGGAAAGUGAUUGAUUCUGAACAAAGAAAAAUUAAAGAUCAAAAGCAAGAAGAUAAAGGAAAUCACACUGGUUUUGGACAAAGACUGCAUGCAUUCCAAACCUAUAAAUAGAUAAAUAGGAGGAAACUUUCUGCAAAAGUUAAUGAAAUGGAGCAACAACAGAGAUAUGGAAAAUAAUGAUUAUGUGACGAUGGGAAUAAAGCCAAGUGCUUUACCACAUCAGUUAAGGGAACAGCAGGCUCCAAAGCAGAGACAAAAAUAAUAUGACUUCUGAAGACCCAACGUUUACAAGACAACAUCAAAGAACGGAGGGAAACAUGUGCUUCUCACUACUAAUCCGACUUUACAUGAAAUACUACAAAAACAGAAAAGGACUUAAAUACACAAAAAUGAUUCAAAUUGCAAAACAAAUUCUUCAAAGCUGUGUGCGCUUCACAGAGACAAGGCUCACUCCUUUCUGGGUCCCCUCUGAGCCUCACAUUCUUUUUCUCGUAGGUGACCACACUAGUAGGGUGCUCGGCCACUCUGUAAGCCUUAAAAAGCCUGUGGUGGGGACAGAAGGGUCCAGGGUGCUGCUUUCAAUAAACCCUCAUGCAGACUCGGCUUCCUUGACAGCCAGGAGGACAGAGAGUUGCUCACCGUGCCAUUUCCAGCCUCCUCCUCCUCCUGAUUUCUGACACUAAUGAGUAAUCUGUCCGUAGCGUUCGGCCGGACACACCUGCUGAGCACACAGUUGGAUGAACAGUUGGACUGAAGGAUUCCGCGUCCCCCAUGACCUCCUCCUUCUCAGUUACCAAGCCACGGAAGAUACUAAUGUUCUUCCCGAUGUCAUUAAUUAGCCGUGCUUGACUGGUUGUGAGUGGCACCACUGAAUUUUUUUUCUUGAAUGCUCUUGUUUUGACAUCUGAUUAUUUACCCUGCAUCUUCCGUGCCCAGCAGAGUGCUUGGCUCAGUUUUAGUAGUGAGAAGAAAGGGCCCUUCCCAUCCCACUUGCCUUCUUGUCCAGUUCACUGCGCCGAUCCCUGCUCCCCUGUGCCUCCUCUGACAGCUGCCCUCUCUCCUCUCCACACCAGCUCUGAACCGAGAGGUACCCCAGGGCUUGUUCUUGGGUUUUCCUUAGCUCACUUUGCUUUAUCUUUUGUUUGCUCACUUCUUUGUCUUUUUCUUUCUUUUUUCCUUUAAGAAAAGAAAAUCUAUUUUAGAGCUGGGUAGCUUAGCAAAAGGAUACAAUUUUAUGAAAAGGAGUAAUUUUUGUUUUUGCUUUGUUUUAUUUUAAUAAACUUGUUUAGCUUUGUUUGUUUAGACAAACUUGUCUUUGUGAACCCAGAACUCAGGGUCUCAAUUAAUUCCUCCUAGAUUCUUUUUCUUUGAGGAUGAAAUCCUAGAAAUAGGGCUUCCCACAAAACGCCUUUAACAAUGCAAAUUAUAGACUAGAAUAACAUGUAUAUAAGGGAAAUUAGAGAAAAUUAAUAAAAAUAUUAAAAUAUUCUUCAAUUUGGUAAAAACCAAAUUGAAACACAUGUUACCAGUACAAUGGAGCAUGAUUUCUACUUAUUUAUGAUUAUAAUCCCACUAUUCACUAAAAGCCUGUCCUUCCUUCUCAUCCUAAAUUUAUCAUGUUGACUUAUAAACUUCUGGCAAAAAUUUUAUAGACUGUCAUUCUAUGAUUUAUUUUUUAAUUUUUGAUA